rnacentral:rRNA from 1 species
AUACGGAGGAUGCGAGCGUUAUCCGGAUUUAUUGGGUUUAGAGGGUGCGUAGGCUGUGCGUUAAGUCAGGGGUGAAAUGCUGUCGCUCAACGACGGAGCUGCCCUUGAUACUGGCGUGCUGGAGUACGGAUGCCGUUGGAGGAAUGAGUGGUGUAGCGGUGAAAUGCUUAGAUAUCACUCAGAACACCGAUUGCGAAGGCAUCUGACGAAUCCGUCACUGACGCUGAGGCACGAAAGCGUGGGGAUAGAACAGGAUUAGAUACCCUGGUAUUCCACGCCGUAAACGAUGAUGACUAACCGUCGGCGAUAGACAGCCGGUGGCCAAGCGAAAGCGAUAAGUCAUCCACCUGGGGAGUACGUCGGCAACGAUGAAACUCAAAUGAAUUGACGGGG